rnacentral:lncRNA from 1 species
UUUAUUCCUAAAAAAUAAGGUUGGCCAAACAAGCGCAUAAGAAACACACAAGUUGACACAAAUAUGUAGCAAAACAAAACAGGAACACGAGAUUCUAGGUUGCAAGUCAUUUCUAUGAUGCUAAUUUGUAAUUUGUCUGCACUCUCCAAAUACACUGCAAAACUUGUGUACAAAGACAAUAAUGUCUAUUACAUGUAAAUAACUUUAAAGGGCCUGAUUAAUACAGUAAACAGUGUGCUAACGAUCUUUAGGCACUGGCCAACUGCUUUCUAUCAGAAAUUUUUUC